UACGUAGGUGGCAAGCGUUAUCCGGAAUUAUUGGGCGUAAGGCGCGCGUAGGCGGUUUUUUAAGUCUGAUGUGAAAGCCCACGGCUCAACCGUGGAGGGUCAUUGGAAACUGGAAAACUUGAGUGCAGAAGAGGAAAGUGGAAUUCCAUGUGUAGCGGUGAAAUGCGCAGAGAUAUGGAGGAACACCAGUGGCGAAGGCGACUUUCUGNGUCUGUAACUGACGCUGAUGUGCGAAAGCGUGGGGAUCAAACAGGAUUAGAUAC
rnacentral:rRNA from 1 species